AACCGGUGGCAAAAAACCCACUCCUAUCGAUCCCCUAGAGACACAGCGCUCCUCUCGCGAACAAGGCCCCGAUCCGCUCUUCCUCCUCUCCCGAGGAUACGCAGCCGCCGCCGCCGAUCUGCCGAUCCGGGCAUCACAGCCGCCGCCGAUCUGCCUAUCCGGGCAGACGCGGCCUUCACGGAUCACGAGAACGCCGGCGCCGCCGGCUCCUCGGAUGCGUCGCCCGUCACCACCACGAUGGCACCUCGCUGAUGCCGCUCGGCAUGGAUUGCCGCCCUGAAGGGGGGCAGGGGGCCGGCCACCGCGGGCCCCCAAACUCUAGGGGCCACAUCCCAGAUCGUGGUCCUUCCCUCCCUACGAUGCAAGUCACGCCCUACGCGGCGGCCGCCAGGAAACAAAUGCGCGAGGCCGCAAGCGGAUCCAGCGGGUUGCGACAUUCAGACGGCCUACCGGGAACAUGAUGGUUGGCUUGUUGCUUCUGAUCUGAUUGCUCCAGGACUCCUUUUGUUUUUCUGCCACAAAGCUCCUUCCACCUAUGAUAUGUGUAUCAAGCAGUCGAUCACAACAGUUCACCAAUCAGCCCUAUUUGCUUCACCGGCCGGAUCUCCUAGCACUGCCUGAUAUUAUAUCAUCUGGAAAGUAUCGAUUUGGUAAUGAGCAAGAAAAAGGAAAACAGGCUUAUGGAUGAAUUAAUAUAAUUACAGAGAGGAACUAUGGAUAAAUUUUAUCAAGAGUAAUAGGGGCACUUCGACGAGUUGGCAGUAAUUCCCGUGGACGAACCAACUACUGAUGUUAAGAAUCAAGACAUUUACUUCCCAAAGAGUUGGUCAACUAAAAAGGACAAGGUGCUUGAGACUGCUUUUAUCUGCUCUGAAGUUUCCCCUUAAACACAACUUUUCAGGUCUGUUAUUCUUGGUCAUAUAUUUUGGAGUUUUUGCAACUCAGUGUGAAAGAGUUGGGUAACCAACUCAAAAUGCGGUGGAUAGAACUCAAAAUGAGGUGGACAGUGAUCAAUGUGCAGUCCAUUGAGUAUUAGUUUCAUGAGCACUUCAUAUUGUUAAUUGUGCUUCUGUCUAUUAAUCAAGAGUGUAUUACUAAAACUAUAGAUUGAUUGUCGUUGAUGCGCCUAUUGUACUGUAAUUAUUUAGUUCCUUCACUUCUAAGAUGAUCUCAGGUUUAGUAGUGAUAUAAAAAAGCUAUACAUUUCUAUGUUUUUCCUCUGCUAUUGUGUUAUUUCAUCAUUUUCUGUUCCUUACGGUCUGCCACUCUUUGACUCCCUUUUUGUGCUCAAAUAUUUUUCAAUGUUCCUUGCAGGAUCCAUAUGAGCUUGGUUACGCACUAAAUUAUUCUGGAGGAUCUCAGGUAAUCGUUGCAGUUGAAGAUUACGCCCCUGGUCAUGAUUCUCAUUUUCAAACUUGCCAUUCAUCAUAGGUUUUGGAUGGAGUGUAUUCAUGCAUUAUAUUGGAGCAGGGACCUGCCGAGGAGGGGGAUACCAUGGGGAGGCGAACCUGGUAAAGUAGGGGUGGAAAGUAGACUAUAGUUAUGUUAUCCGUGGCAAGGACUUGGUGGAUUGUUUACCAUUUAGUUGUGUUCAACACUGAAAAAUGGUAAUAUCAUUUUUUUGUCCUUUGCAAAUUAAAUUAUUAAUCCAUAACAUUAUUUUUAUAUAUGGGCUUCUAUUAGCGCAACUGGAUUGAUGCAGCGGAGAAUUACCUUCAAAAUGAUUAAACGAAUGCGAAGAUUGGCCUUCUUGAAUUUUGACCACGUCUAAUAACACUUCUGAAUUAUGUCUAAUCUCCAUGUAGUUUGGUCCGGUUAUUUCAUCAACUAGCCCACUACUAUGUGCUGGAAGUUAUAUUGUUACUUAAUACAGGCUACACAUUCUAAACAUCUUUUUGACUGUGUUGUCAGAUUGAUUUAUCCAAUGGAACCUCACAUUAAUAAUAAAUUCCUUACAAUAACAAUGUGCUUUAUUUGAAAAUGGUUGAAUAUAAUUACCAAAGUUUGAUGGACGUUCAUAUGGAGAGCGCAAAUGCAAAUGUUCAUAUUGUAUUGACGAUGCUCCCUUUUGAAAUUAACAUGCUUUGUCAAUUUAUUUUCGACAUGAUGUAUUAUCUUAUUACUUUUUAGCCUAUAGGUUUUAUAUGAGUGAAAAUUAAAUAUGACAGUUCUCAGUCUGGUCUUGCCAACCCCUCCAUGUCAACCAGGUAUGCAAUGCAUUAUAUAAGAUUAUUUUUGUUGUUUUUCCUUCUUGUUAGUAUUUUUAAUUAUGGUUAUUACUCUUUGGAAUAAUCAACAGUUUAAUCUCUACUAUUAAAGGGGAGUAAGCAGGUCGUUUUUUCGGGGAGGGUGAGGCACAACCUUGUGAAGGAGUGGAGAAGACAGUGUGCUCUGGUCCUCCUCCAAGCCCGCCAGCGACUUAUCAUUUGUUGCUCUUCCCUUACAAGAUCCUUGAGGUCAGGUGUGAUAACUAGCGACACGUGGUGGAGCUUCUGCGGUAGGGCAUCGCCGACGGCAACAUCACCUGCAUCAAACUCUCCCUGGUCGCCUUCGAGAGUGUGUGCACCCGACCUACAAGCUUGUUAUGAUGCCCUUUGAAUUUCCGAGCAAGUUGCAACCUUUCCAGAUUUAUCAACACUGGUCACAUUAGUAGUCAAUAUGGUUCAGAUGCAUAAUAGUACGUACUUCGUUUCCUUUUCGUUGCAUACAUGGCAUCUUGUGAGGAAGUGUUCCUUAUAUUAUGUAACUAGGGAUAAAUAUGACGAAGCCAACAGUAAAGGAGCUCAUGUAAAAAAACUGAAGUUUAAAGGAAAUUGUUAUAAUAUAUAUAUCAAUUCCGACAUUGGCAUC